AGCGAACGCUGGCGGCAGGCCUAACACAUGCAAGUCGAACGAACCUUUCGGGGUUAGUGGCGGACGGGUGAGUAACACGUGGGAACGUGCCUUUAGGUUCGGAAUAACUCAGGGAAACUUGUGCUAAUACCGAAUGUGCCCUUCGGGGGAAAGAUUACUCGCCUUUAGAUCGGCCCGCGUCUGAUUAGCUAGUUGGUUGAGGUAAUGGCUCACCAAGGCGAGGAUCAGUAGCUGGGCUGAGAGGAUGAUCAGCCACAUUGGGACUGAGACACGGCCCACACUCCUACGGGAGGCAGCAGUGGGGAAUCUUGCGCAAUGGGCGAAAGCCUGACGCAGCCAUGCCGCGUGAAUGAGGAAGGUCUUAGGAUUGUAAAAUUCUUUCACCGGGGACGAUAAUGACGGUACCCGGAGAAGAAGCCCCGGCUAACUUCGUG
rnacentral:rRNA from 1 species